rnacentral:rRNA from 1 species
GACGAACGCUGGCGGCGUGCCUAACACAUGCAAGUCGAACGAUGAAGCUGGAGCUUGCUCCGGUGGAUUAGUGGCGAACGGGUGAGUAACACGUGAGCAAUCUGCCCUUGACUCUGGGAUAACUGCGGGAAACUGUAGCUAAUACCGGAUACUUUCACUGGAAGGCAUCUUCUGGUGAAGAAAGAAUUUCGGUCAAGGAUGAGCUCGCGGCCUAUCAGCUUGUUGGUGAGGUAACGGCUCACCAAGGCGACGACGGGUAGCCGGCCUGAGAGGGUGACCGGCCGCACGGGGACUGAGACACGGCCCAGACUCCAACGGGAGGCAGCAGUGGGGAAUAUUGCACAAUGGGCGCAAGCCUGAUGCAGCAACGCCGCGUGAGGGAUGAAGGCCUUCGGGUUGUAAACCUCUUUUAGCAGGGAAGAAGCGAAAGUGACGGUACCUGCAGAAAAAGCACCGGCUAACUACGUGCCAGCCGCCGCCGUAA